rnacentral:rRNA from 1 species
CUGCUCAGUAACACGUGGACAACCUGCCCUUAGGUUGGGUAUAAACCCGGGAAACUGGGUAUAAUACCCGAUAGGUCUCGAUUGCUGGAAUGCAUCGAGAUUUAAAGCUCCGGCGCCUAAGGACGGGUCUGCGGCCUAUCAGGUAGUAGUGGGUGUAGCGUACCUACUAGCCUACGACGGGUACGGGUUGUGAGAGCAAGAGCCCGGAGAUGGAUUCUGAGACACGAAUCCAGGCCCUACGGGGUGCAGCAGGCGCGAAAACUUUACAAUGCUGGCAACAGCGAUAAGGGAACCUCGAGUGCCAGGUUACAAAUCUGGCUGUCGAGAUGCCUAAAAAGCAUUUCAUAGCAAGGGCCGGGCAAGACCGGUGCCAGCCGCCGCGGUAACACCGGCGGCUCGAGUGGUAACCGUUAUUAUUGGGUCUAAAGGGUCUGUAGCCGGCCGGAUAAGUCUCUUGAGAAAUCUGGCAGCUUAACUGUCAGGCUUUCAGGAGAUACUGUCUGGCUCGAGGCCGGGAGAGGUGAGAGGUACUUCAGGGGUAGGGGUGAAAUCUUGUAAUCCUUGAAGGACCACCAGUGGCGAAGGCGUCUCACCAGAACGGACCUGACGGCAAGGGACGAAAGCUAGGGGCACGAACCGGAUUAGAUACCCGGGUAGUCCUAGCCGUAAACGAUACUCGCUAGGUGUCGGCCACGGUGCGACCGUUGUCGGUGCCGUAGGGAAGCCGUGAAGCGAGCCACCUGGGAAGUACGGCCGCAAGGCUGAAACUUAAAGGAAUUGGCGGGGGAGCAC